rnacentral:misc_RNA from 1 species
GUGAAUCAUCGAAUCUUUGAACGCACAUUGCGCCCUUUGGUAUUCCGAAGGGCAUGCCUGUUCGAGCGUCAUUAUCACCCCUCAAGCCUCCCGGCUUGGUGUUGGACGGCCUGGUCGAGAUAUCUAAAUCUCGAUCCCUCCUAAAGACAAUGACGGCGGCCUCGUGGGACCCCCGGUACACUGAGCUUCUUAAUUGAGCACGUAUCGGAUCUAGGGUACCCGGGACCCGGUCUCUCUCCCUUUUACAGGGAAACUCCUUUCUAAGGUUGACCUCGGAUCAGGUAGGAAUACCCGCUGAAC